rnacentral:rRNA from 1 species
UACUCCUACGGGAGGCAGCAGUGGGGAAUAUUGGACAAUGGACCGAGAGUCUGAUCCAGCAAUUCUGUGUGCACGAUGAAGUUUUUCGGAAUGUAAAGUGCUUUCAGUUGGGAAGAAACAAAUGACGGUACCAACAGAAGAAGUGACGGCUAAAUACGUGCCAGCAGCCGCGGUAAUACGUAUGUCACGAGCGUUAUCCGGAUUUAUUGGGCGUAAAGCGCGUCUAGGUGGUUAUGUAAGUCUGAUGUGAAAAUGCAGGGCUCAACUCUGUAUUGCGUUGGAAACUGUAUAACUAGAGUACUGGAGAGGUAAGCGGAACUACAAGUGUAGAGGUGAAAUUCGUAGAUAUUUGUAGGAAUGCCGAUGGGGAAGCCAGCUUACUGGACAGAUACUGACGCUGAAGCGCGAAAGCGUGGGUAGCAAACAGGAUUAGAUACCCUGGUAGUCCACGCCGUAAACGGUGAUUACUAGGUGUUGGGGGUCGAACCUCAGCGCCCAAGCAAACGCGAUAAGUAAUCCGCCUGGGGAGUACGUACGCAAGUAUGAAACUCAAAGGAAUUGACGGA